AAUAAUCCGACCAGCCAGUUCAUUCUCUAUCCUCAUUAUUCCACUGAGGAGAUUAAUUUAAUCUUGGAUUGUAGUUGGAGCUGAGACUGAAACAAAAGAAACCCAUCCAUAUAACAUAUGGGAGACAGAAGACCCCUGGGCUCCGAGUUCCGGUGCACUGGUGGAAUCAUCCAGUAGAAGACAAAGAUAGCCAGUUCUCCAGCCAUUCAGCUGCAGGAACCAAAAAGAGAGCUCUGAGAUCAGGUGUUGAGAUGAUGGAGAGAGGGGGAUGCAACCACCACACCACUCUCCAUUGUUGACCAUCUGAAAGAAGAAUAGGAGGGGACAAAAGAGUAAGAGAAUUGGGACGUUUAGGGCCUGAAGCAAAUAAAACAGAGGUGGGGAAUCAAUUUUAUCAUCCAAUUAUCAUUUUGUCCUGACCUAUGU
rnacentral:lncRNA from 1 species